AGUGAACGCUGGCGGUAGGCCUAACACAUGCAAGUCGAACGGCAGCACAGGAGAGCUUGCUCUCUGGGUGGCGAGUGGCGGACGGGUGAGGAAUACAUCGGAAUCUACUCUGUCGUGGGGGAUAACGUAGGGAAACUUACGCUAAUACCGCAUACGACCUACGGGUGAAAGCAGGGGACCUUCGGGUCUUGCGCGCCUGAAUGAGCCGAUGUCGGAUUAGCUAGUUGGCGGGGUAAAGGCCCACCAAGGCGACGAUCCGUAGCUGGUCUGAGAGGAUGAUCAGCCACACUGGAACUGAGACACGGUCCAGACUCCUACGGGAGGCAGCAGUGGGGAAUAUUGGACAAUGGGCGCAAGCCUGAUCCAGCCAUACCGCGUGGGUGAAGAAGGCCUUCGGGUUGUAAAGCCCUUUUGUUGGGAAAGAAAUCCAGCUGGCUAAUACCCGGUUGGGAUGACGGUACCCAAAGAAUAAGCACCGGCUAACUUCGUGCCAGCCGCCGCAGUAA
rnacentral:rRNA from 1 species